GAUGAACGCUGGCGGCGUGCCUAAUACAUGCAAGUCGAGCGAACAGACGAGGAGCUUGCUCCUCUGACGUUAGCGGCGGACGGGUGAGUAACACGUGGAUAACCUACCUAUAAGACUGGGAUAACUUCGGGAAACCGGAGCUAAUACCGGAUAAUAUAUUGAACCGCAUGGUUCAAUAGUGAAAGACGGUUUUGCUGUCACUUAUAGAUGGAUCCGCGCCGCAUUAGCUAGUUGGUAAGGUAACGGCUUACCAAGGCAACGAUGCGUAGCCGACCUGAGAGGGUGAUCGGCCACACUGGAACUGAGACACGGUCCAGACUCCUACGGGAGGCAGCAGUAGGGAAUCUUCCGCAAUGGGCGAAAGCCCGACGGAGCAACGCCGCGUGAGUGAUGAAGGUCUUCGGAUCGUAAAACUCUGUUAUUAGGGAAGAACAAAUGUGUAAGUAACUAUGCACGUCUUGACGGUACCGAAUCAGAAAGCCACGGCUAACUACGU
rnacentral:rRNA from 1 species